GAGCACCCAAGUAUAAAUUAGCCUUACAACUCUCUAACGGAAAACUUAAUAACUUCAACUUAAGUUGCAUACUGACCUAGGAUUUGGGCUGACUUAGUAAUUAACACUUUGUGUGCAUUUGAAAUUCUUGGCACUUAUGCAUAUGAAAUUAGAUUUUAUAAAACAAUAAACUCUUUGGGUAGAGACAACAGUUUGUGGGUAUCUGAGCCGGAAACCCUCACGAGACAAAACUCGUCCACUAGGGCCACCUAGGGGUUUAAAGCCUUAUUGCAUACGGUAAAUCCAAUCGUGAUUCCUGCGAAAGUGAGUUAGUUUUUUUUAUUUUACUCGAGGACUAGAAAAAUGUAGGUUGGAGGGUGUGAUAAGUGCUAAAUAAUAUAUAAAUUAACCUCUUUCUCCUAGCACUUAUCAUUAUUUUAACACACACAUUUCAUAAAUUUAACCAUAAAAUAUGUGUUACCAUCAUCAUUGCAUUUUAAUAAUUAUAAGAGGUGAUUCGAGUUGAUUUAAUUAUUUAAUGAUUAAGUCUAAUGUGUGCAGGUCGAGUCGAACUAAUUGGAA
rnacentral:lncRNA from 1 species